rnacentral:rRNA from 1 species
UUGGAGGGCAAGUCUGGUGCCAGCAGCCGCGGUAAUUCCAGCUCCAAUAGCGUAUAUUAAAGUUGUUGCAGUUAAAAAGCUCGUAGUUGAAUUUCAGGGUUUGUCUAUCGGUCGGGCUUCACUGUCCGCACUGAUUUGAUGGAUCCUUACCUUCUGAAUAGCCAUCAUGCCAUUAAUUUGGUGCGUUGGGGAAGCAGAGCUAUUACCUUGAAAAAAUUAGAGUGCUUAAAGCAGGCCAGUGCUUGAAUAGAUUAGCAUGGAAUAAUAAAAUAGGACGGCAUGGUUCUAUUUUGUUGGUUUCUAGGAUCACCGUAAUGAUUAAUAGGGAUAGUUGGGGGCAUUAGUAUUCAAUUGUCAGAGGUGAAAUUCUUGGAUUUAUUGAAGACUAACUACUGCGAAAGCAUUUGCCAAGGAUGUUCUCAUUAAUCAAGAACGAAAGUUAGGGGAUCGAAGACGAUCAGAUACCGUCGUAGUCUUAACCACAAACUAUGCCGACUAGGGAUCGGACGAAGUUAAUUUUUAAAUGACUCGUUCGGCGCCUUACGGGAAAC